rfam:Picea glauca, whole genome shotgun sequence.
GAAAUGGUGUCUUUAGACACCACCACUAUUAUUGGAAUCUCAUUUU